rnacentral:lncRNA from 1 species
UUUCUGGUUCUCUAUUCUCCUCCCAGCCCAGACUGCAAUGAUUUCUCCAAAUAGCAACUAGAAACCUCAAGUAGUAAUCCUCAUGGGGUUACCGUGUGUUUCUGUGUCAUCUGUCCCAAAGAAUGGUUCAUUGUGAUUGGCCUGGGGCAAGCAUUAAGAGGAUGUUAUGAUCAUGCAGCCUUUGAAAAUGAGAGAAUCACAUGUGGCAGAGAUUGGUCACUUUGGCCACCCUUGGCCACCCCUGCCCGUCCUUCAUGAUCAGACACCACCAGAGUUAACAAUGGCUGCUCUUCCUUCUUUUAAAUGCAGCACCACAAACGACACCAUAAACAGAUUUGAAAAUGAAAUUCAAUACUAAGAAAAGUAUCUUCUUUGGCCUGAAUGCCAGGUUCAUGACAAGGCAGAAGCUGAACAAGUUCUGGAGAACUCUCCUGUAUAUCUCCUGAAAUUAUCCUGUGGCAAAAAUAUGAGGACCCCCCCAGUGGACAUCUGGAGCCUGGGUGUCAUUCUGCAUUUCAUGGUUAUAGGAGAUACCCAUUUAUGGGAACCACUGCUAAGCAACUGAAGAAGCAGACUGUGCAGGCAAGGUACACCUUCCCCCUGCACGUCUCUGAGGGAGCACAGAGCCUCAUCCAUCAAAUACUGACAGUGGUCUCCAUACAGAGGCCCCAAGUAAAGCAUAUAAUUGG